rnacentral:tRNA from 1 species
GGGGAUGUAACUCAGUGGGGGAGUAACUGCCUAGUAUGUGCAAGAUCCUGGGUUCUAACCCCAGCAUCAUUA